CAUCGGAACGUGCCCAAUCGUGGGGGAUAACGCAGCGAAAGCUGUGCUAAUACCGCAUACGAUCUACGGAUGAAAGCAGGGGAUCGCAAGACCUUGCGCGAAUGGANCGGCCGAUGGCAGAUUAGGUAGUUGGUGAGGUAAAGGCUCACCAAGCCUUCGAUCUGUAGCUGGUCUGAGAGGACGACCAGCCACACUGGGACUGAGACACGGCCCAGACUCCUACGGGAGGCAGCAGCC
rnacentral:rRNA from 1 species